ACUGAGCCCAGAACCUUUUUCUUUUCUUAAUGCCGUAUUGUCAGUGUUUCCUCUACUAUUAUAUUCUGCCAAUCUUUUCAAAAUCUUAAGUGACCUGGACUAUUCUGUUCACAUUCUUGGAUGCAUUGCGAUUCAGUUUCAGUAAUGACCAUGUGAUCAAUUCAAUCUAUUUCUAUUUGUUCCACAAUGUUUUUGACCUCUUCAAUUUAAGGUGCUUUUGGAUAGGUACUAGAAUAUGCAGGGAAUGGAGGGAUAUGGAUCAUAUGCAGGCAGAGGAGAUUAGUUUCACUUGGUAUGUUCGGCAUAGACAUUGCAGGUUGAAGGGCCUGUUCCUGUGCUGUACAGUUCUACGUUCUGUGUUCAUCUAGUUUAUAUGAACUCUUCAAGCAGUCAGAUUAAUUUCUCUAUUUUAACCCUGUUGCUAUGCAGUUAUCAUUGUGUGGUCUAUUGCGUUCUGUCACGCAAUACUUGCUGAUUAUCCAUCUAACUGCACUGCGCUUUUUUUUUCUAAAUUUGUAAAUUUCCCCUCACCUGGACCCACCCUGUGAGAGAAAAGCAAGAGUAGUGGAAAGGAAGUGGUAGUGAAACUACAACAGAGACGCCCAUUUUGUGCCAGGCCUCUGCAAUAUCAGAUUAUUCAAACAUCGGUAAAUUAAAAAACAUUUCCACGUUCACAAAAAAUCCUGCACUGCCAACAUCCCUCUCACUAAACAUCACAUUAACUGAAAUAAAAGCAGUAAGAGCACAUCGAAGUCUGGUUUUAUAUCAUCAGUCGUGAUAAAAUCUGUAUUAAAAAAAAUAAACAAAUAUUCUUCACAC